rnacentral:rRNA from 1 species
AUUGAACGCUGGCGGCAUGCCUUACACAUGCAAGUCGAACGGCAGCACGGGAGCAAUCCUGGUGGCGAGUGGCGAACGGGUGAGUAAAGUAUCGGAACGUGCCCAGUCGUGGGGGAUAACGUAGCGAAAGUUACGCUAAUACCGCAUACGAUCUAUGGAUGAAAGCGGGGGAUCGCAAGACCUUGCGCGAUUGGAGCGGCCGAUAUCAGAUUAGGGAGUUGGUGGGGUAAAGGCUCACCAAGCCGACGAUCUGUAGCUGGUCUGAGAGGACGACCAGCCACACUGGGACUGAGACACGGCCCAGACUCCUACGGGAGGCAGCAGUGGGGAAUUUUGGACAAUGGGCGCAAGCCUGAUCCAGCCAUGCCGCGUGCAGGAUGAAGGCCUUCGGGUUGUAAACUGCUUUUGUACGGAACGAAAAGGUUUGACUUAAUACGUUGGACUCAUGACGGUACCGUAAGAAUAGGCACCGGCUAACUACGUGCCAGCAGCCGCCGUAA